rnacentral:ncRNA from 1 species
GCGGUACCGGUUCACGCCCGUCGCGGGUCUGCCGCGGCGCGGCGACCCGGCGACC